CCUACGGGUGGCAGCAGUGAGGAAUAUUGGACAAUGGGCGUACCCCUGAACCAGCGAAGUCGCGUGAGGGAAGACUUCCCUAUGGGUUUUAAACCUCUUUUGUCAGGGAGCAAUUGGCGCUACGUGUAGCGUUAUCGAGAGUACCUGAAGAGCAAGCAGCGGCUAAAACCGGGCCAUCGGCCGCGGUAAUAGGGAGGAUGUGAGUGUUAGCCGGUUUUAUUGGGUUAAAAGGGUGCGUGAGCGGAUUUUUAAGUCAGCGGUAAAAUGUCCGGGGUAAACCUGGGCCUGCUGUUGAAGCUGGGGAGCUGGAGUGGGCGAGAAGUAUGCGGAAUGCGUGGUGUAGCGGUGAAAUGCAUAGAUAUCACGCAGAACUCCGAUUGCGAAGGCAGCAUACCGGCGCCCGACUGACGCUGAGGCACGAAAGCGUGGGGAUCGAACAGGAUUAGAUACCCGAGUAGUC
rnacentral:rRNA from 1 species